UAUGGCCAUCAUUACAGAGACGGACGGCGGCGAGGACCAGGUUGGAGGCCGAGCCAGACGAGGCAAGGCAGUCGAAACGGCCCAUCAGCACGCCAUGAUGUCUCGUGCUGCCGGUGCUGGUAAACAGGUGAUUGCGCCAAAUAAACAAAUAAACAAGGAGACACUUAUCAUACAAAGUCCGCAUCAUCUGGUAUUUGUUUAUUUAUUUAUACUUAUCAUUUUGUUAGUCCAGAUGACGCAACAAAAAUAUUUCGAAGUAGGAAAAGAUAAAGAAAACAUUUUAGUGAAUACAAGACACUCAUCACACAUAGUCCACAUCCACUGUUAUUUAUCUAUCAUCUAUCAACAUUUAUCAUCUUCUCUAUUAGUCCAAAUGACUCAACAUAAAAACAGAAACAUGAAAAGAAAGGAAAAGAAAUAAUAGUGAACGUGAGACACCGCGCAGACUGCGAUGGCUAACAAGUCCUCAAGAAAAAGCCUGUUUCCCAAGGCGUCGAAAGCGACUGCCUCUCCGGCCGUGCAUGAGAGAACGUUUCGGAAUGGAAAAAAAGGUAGAAAGGUGAAAAUUUUAGAUAAGUAUGAAAGGAAAAAAUGGUAGAAAGGUGAUAAAAGGAGUAAAUGGUAGAAAGGUGAUAAAAGGAAUAAAUGGUAGAAAGGUGAAAAUUUUAGAUAAGUAUGAAAGGAAAAAAUGGUAGAAAGGUGAUAAAAGGAAUAAAUGGUAGAAAGGUGAAAAUUUUAGAUAAGUAUGAAAGGAAAAAA